UGUUUGCACGCAGCCGGUAAUGUCGGCUCCCACGCUGUGAUAAAUACAGACAGAUGGCGACUCAUGUCUCUAAGUACUGUAAAUGGAUUAUCCCGCGGUAAUCCUGUGUAAACUACUCCGGUACCUGUGAAACACGGCUGCAUCAGUGCCAGCGUUGCCAUCUGCUGCGUAACCAAUACUGGGACAGAGGCUUCCCUGGGCUCAGAGCUAAGCUCGGUGUGUAUUCACCUGUACGCACCAUGAAGGUUCAUCUAUUACACAGUGGAAUUUGCCUGACGCCGUGGAACCCGAAGCUUUGAUGACGUGUGUGGGAUUAAGGAAUGAAAAUCAAGCUUAUCAAAUCAAUCUAGCCGACAGUGUUUCUCCUUCCUCCACUGUGCUUCUCGUGUUCUGAACAGUCCUUCUCCUUGUCGGAUUUGUCAGGCUUUUCCCCAUCACAUGCCAGACACAGAAUAUAUAUCGCCAUUCCUCGAGAUAUGAUAACGAUGUUAUCGUUUCUAUAUUCCACCAUUGUUUCUGUCUUCUUCACAUAUCAUUGGUGAAUCAGAACAUCCCUUCCCCUUCAUCCGCGCUCUCUCUUUCUCUCCUUUCUUCCCAUUCUUCCUGCUCUGACGUCAGUCAUCCUGGUGACAGGCUGCAUCUCUGCUGCUGCGCCUUUCAGAAUUUGCAGCUGCAUCUUGCACUUAUUUUUGAUAGACAACAAUAAAUGUCCAAGCUAUGUAUACAGUUUAUUGAUGCUAUGUUGCUUUUUUAUUAAUACUGACAGUGCUGAUAUGAUUAGAGUAAUGAUCAAUAGCAUAUAUACUAAUGACAAAUGCCAGCAUUUCUCCAAAUCCUCUCUUGCUGCAGUGGUUGUCAGCUUGCUUCCAGUCAGUUUAUAGUUCCUUCAUACAGCAUUGCAUUUAGUGUGUAAGAUCAUUUCUUAGUCCUGUUAAAUGGAAGUGUAAUAAAUUCCUGCUUAGUUAAGAUACUACUGCAUAGUGUAUGUAGCUACUUUAAUGACAUGUCAUUGUGCCUAUUU